rnacentral:rRNA from 1 species
GACGAACGCUGGCGGCGUGCCUAAUACAUGCAAGUUGAGCGCUGAAGGUUGGUACUUGUACCAACUGGAUGAGCAGCGAACGGGUGAGUAACGCGUGGGGAAUCUGCCUUUGAGCGGGGGACAACAUUUGGAAACGAAUGCUAAUACCGCAUAAAAACUUUAAACACAAGUUUUAAGUUUGAAAGAUGCAAUUGCAUCACUCAAAGAUGAUCCCGCGUUGUAUUAGCUAGUUGGUGAGGUAAAGGCUCACCAAGGCGAUGAUACAUAGCCGACCUGAGAGGGUGGUCGGCCACAUUGGGACUGAGACACGGCCCAAACUCCUGCGGGGGGCAGCGGUAGGGAAUCUUCGGCAAUGGACGAAAGUCUGACCGGGCACCGCGGGGGGAGUGAAGAAGGUUUUCGGAUCGUAAAACUCUGUUGGUAGGAAAGAAGGUUGGUGGGAGUGGAAGACCCAUCAAGUGACGGUACCCACCCAGAAGGGGCCGGCUAACUACGU